GCUGGGCAUGGUGGCACGUGCCUGUAGUCCCAGCUACUUGGGAGGCUGAGGCGGGAGGAUCGCUUGAGCCUAGGAGUUCUCUAGCAGGAUCAGGUGUCCACACCAAGUUUGGCAUCAAUAUGGUGACCUCCCAGGAGCAGGGAACCACCAGGUUGCCCAAGGAGGGGUGAGCUGGCCCAGGUUAGAAACAGAGCAGGUCAAAACUCCUGUGCUGAUCAGAAAGUUAAAGUAUCUUUUCUUAACCUCAGUUUCCUCAUGUGGAAAAUGAAACCUACCUCU
ensembl:misc_RNA Metazoa_SRP Metazoan signal recognition particle RNA